CAUGAUCUGGUGAGGUUCACUUCACUUCACUUCCAACAUCCUCAUGUGAACCCUACGGUCAUAAUUCAUGAUUUAAUGCGGGUACGGGCAGUCCUGGGACGCAGCUGGACCGCAGCUGUAAAGCUUUUGGAUCUAAAGUUGUAGCUGUGGUGGGGAGGGUUCCUGGCACCGUGAUUUGGUGGAUAAACAGAAUUGAAAAUCACAUUGCCAGGGAUUUCCACCUCUGCACAGUUCUUCAGGUACCCCACCUACACCACCAACCGGACCGGGGGUAUUUUGUACAUCCUAUAACAGCACACAAAGAACCACAGAUUUGUCUGAAUUAGACUGUCAGGGCUCUUGUGUGCAUGUGGCUCAACGUCAACACUGACCCUGUUUACUUUCAUAAUGCACGUUCCAGUUUUUAUUGUGCUGGUUUUAUCAGUCAUCAGAAUGUACUUGCUCCAACUUGGAAAUGAUUUUAAGAAUUACUAUUACUAAUGCUCAUAAAUACGGAGCAUGGUGAUAUGGGAUGGGAGAAAAAAUUGCGUUCUGUCGCAAAAUUUUGGGUUUCCACCGAGAAACUUUGCGGGGAACUCAAAAUAUUUGUGAGAGAUUUAUGAUUUUCUCAUAUCUCAUAUUUUUUUUCCCAUCACCAUGUCCCUUUAGGAUACUUGGGAUUAAUGAUUUAAACAAA